GCUGGGCACGGUGGUGAGUGCCUGUAGUCCCAGCUACUCGGGAGGCUGAGGUGGGAGGAUCGCUUGAGCCCAGGAGUUCUGGGCUGUAGUGCGCUAUGCCGAUUGGGUGUCCGCACUAAGUUCGGCAUCAAUAUGGUGAACUUUGGGGAGCAGGGGACCACCAGGUUGCCUAAGGACGGGUGAAACAGCCCAAGUCGGAAACAGAGCAAGUCAAAACUCCCGUGCUGAUCAGUAGUGGGAUCCCGCCUGUGAAUAGCCGCUGCACUCCAGCCUGGGCAACAUAGGGAGACCCCGUCUCU
rnacentral:SRP_RNA from 1 species